GACGAACGCUGGCGGCGUGCUUAACACAUGCAAGUCGAACGGAAAGGCCCUGCUUUUGUGGGGUGCUCGAGUGGCGAACGGGUGAGUAACACGUGAGUAACCUGCCCUUGACUUUGGGAUAACUUCAGGAAACUGGGGCUAAUACCGGAUAGGAGCUCCUGCUGCAUGGUGGGGGUUGGAAAGUUUCGGCGGUUGGGGAUGGACUCGCGGCUUAUCAGCUUGUUGGUGGGGUAGUGGCUUACCAAGGCUUUGACGGGUAGCCGGCCUGAGAGGGUGACCGGCCACAUUGGGACUGAGAUACGGCCCAGACUCCUACGGGAGGCAGCAGUGGGGAAUAUUGCACAAUGGGCGGAAGCCUGAUGCAGCAACGCCGCGUGCGGGAUGACGGCCUUCGCGUUGUAAACCGCUUUCGCCUGUGACGAAGCGUGAGUGACGGUAAUGGGUAAAGAAGCACCGGCUAACUACGUG
rnacentral:rRNA from 1 species